UCAACCGGGGCAUGCCUCAGUACGGCGAGUGAGCGGCAAGAGCUCAAAUUUGAAAGCUGGCUCCUUCGGGGUCCGCAUUGUAAUUUGCAGAGGAUGCUUCGGGUGCGGCCCCCGUCUAAGUGCCCUGGAACGGGCCGUCAUAGAGGGUGAGAAUCCCGUCUGGGGUGGGGUGUCCGCGCCCGUGUGAAGCUCCUUCGACGAGUCGAGUUGUUUGGGAAUGCAGCUCUAAAUGGGUGGUAAAUUUCAUCUAAAGCUAAAUACUGGCCGGAGACCGAUAGCGCACAAGUAGAGUGAUCGAAAGAUGAAAAGCACUUUGAAAAGAGAGUUAAAAAGCACGUGAAAUUGUUGAAAGGGAAGCGCUUGCAACCAGACUCGCUUGCGGGGUUCAGCCGGCAUUCGUGCCGGUGUACUUCCCUGGGGGCGGGCCAGCGUCGGUUUGGGCGGCCGGUCAAAGGCUCCCGGAAUGUAGCGCCCUCCGGGGCACCUUAUAGCCGGGAGUGCAAUGCGGCCAGCCUGGACCGAGGAACGCGCUUCGGCACGGACGCUGGCAUAAUGGUUGUAAACGACCCGUCUUGAACAACGGGACCCA
rnacentral:rRNA from 1 species